rnacentral:rRNA from 1 species
GACGAACGCUGGCGGCGCGCCUAACACAUGCAAGUCGAACGGAGCUUAGAGAGCUUGCUUUUUAAGCUUAGUGGCGAACGGGUGAGUAACGCGUGAGUAACCUGCCCUAGAGUGGGGGACAACAGUUGGAAACGACUGCUAAUACCGCAUAAGCCCACGGUACCGCAUGGUACUGAGGGAAAAGGAUUUAUUCGCUUUAGGAUGGACUCGCGUCCAAUUAGCUAGUUGGUGAGGUAACGGCCCACCAAGGCGACGAUUGGUAGCCGGACUGAGAGGUUGAACGGCCACAUUGGGACUGAGACACGGCCCAGACUCCUACGGGAGGCAGCAGUGGGGGAUAUUGCACAAUGGGGGAAACCCUGAUGCAGCGACGCCGCGUGGAGGAAGAAGGUUUUCGGAUUGUAAACUCCUGUCGUUAGGGACGAUAAUGACGGUACCUAACAAGAAAGCACCGGCUAACUACGUGCCAGCAGCCGCGGUAAAACGUAGGGUGCAAGCGUUGUCCGGAAUUACUGGGUGUAAAGGGAGCGCAGGCGGGAAGACAAGUUGGAAGUGAAAACCAUGGGCUCAACCCAUGAAUUGCUUUCAAAACUGUUUUUCUUGAGUAGUGCAGAGGUAGAUGGAAUUCCCGGUGUAGCGGUGGAAUGCGUAGAUAUCGGGAGGAACACCAGUGGCGAAGGCGGUCUACUGGGCACCAACUGACGCUGAGGCUCGAAAGCAUGGGUAGCAAA